rnacentral:rRNA from 1 species
UACUUGGUUUGCGAAGUCGUGGUGUGUUCGGACCGGUCCGUCUUUAUAAAAUGUAGAGUGCAGGUGUGGUCCGUCAUGGCCGGUAGUUCCGUACUCCUUUUAUCUAGUUCCCGCGGGGAGACCGAAAUGGAGCAGCGCGAGAAGGAGGAGUAGCGCGAGGAGGAACAGAAGUGGCAGAGGCGGAAGCAACAGUGGUUGGCGCCGCGGCCGAGGUAGCAGAGACCCGCGCCCAUGUCCCUCAUGGCGGAGCCCCUCAUGAGGUGGACCGACGUCGCGGCCCAGUUCUCGCGGUCGUUGACCCGGUUCUAGGCGUCUACGGAGGCGCUGCCGCCGCAGACGGUCUCCAAGCCGCGGUCCCCCCUCAGUGACGUCGUCAAGCAGUGGUUGUUGGAGAGGGGCUAAGUCAAACUUAAUAACCUCCUACUGGUACUACUUUGAUACUACGUUAUACCAUCACUACUACUUCUAGUGUGACGCUCGGAGAGACGAGAGGGAGCGAGGCUAGACCACCUCGGUGGCGGGGGUUGGAGAGAGAGGCUGAAGCUAGGCGGCGGCGGAGGUUGGCGAGAGUGGGGUGAGAAGAAGGGAAGGAGGAGCCCGUCGGGUCAGUAGCAGCGCUGGCUCCUGGUCUCUGCGCCUGGCAGCAACCACGGACGCGAACCCUCUUAACUCCCGACCGAGUGCGGUUGCGCCGCGGCACCGCUCUAGGCCGGCCCGCGGUGCAGCGACCUGGGGAGGACCGCGCCGUCUAGACCGGUCGCAUCCCAUCCACAGCCGGGUGGCGGCUAGGCGGGGCCGCGGAGGCGCCGGUCCGCCGUCGCUCGUCUAGACCCAGCCCAGGGGCGGAUCUCUCCAGCCUACCCUACCACGAGAGGCCCUACGCCCCCGACAGCCAGAAGUAGUCGCUGUAGGCGUUGACGGUGUUGUUCCUCGUCCUCGCGGAGGCGCAGCUGUUCCUCGAGCCGUUGUAGGCGUGGGCGAAGUUCUUGCUUUUCUAACGGUUCCGGCCACCACUCUUCACCUUCAGGACUUACUACAACAUUCAAGUACGGCCAGUAGCUAUCCUUCCGGCCGAUGAGGAAGCAGAUGGGUAAGCCUACCUCCACAGACACGUUCCCGUCCUGUUCCACAUGUUCCUGCACUAGUUCGGCGACCUCUCGUAGUCGUAGUUGUACUGGAGGUGGUGGUUCCUUCUGUAGGCGCUGGAGUCGGGCGGACUGGGGCGGCAGGCGCUCACCUGGAGUUCUGACAGCACAUGGUGCGGCUACUGCAGGAGCUGCUGAAGGAGAUACUCCACGACGUGGCGGCACGUUGGGUCUAGGCGGCGGCGACGAGGUGAUGAGCGUUCCAANNNNNNNGCCCGUUCGCUGGUCGUGCUGCGGACCUCUCCUCUCCUCUCGGAAGAGGAGUGUCAUCUCAGCGGCGGGAACAGAACGAGCUCCUCCUCGUCCUCCCCGCGUGGGUCGGUGGUGUCAGUAACGGCAUGGUGGAUCUGGAGCUUUAGGUGCCGCCGCAGCAGGUCGGUGGGUUGAGGGGAGGCAGGGGAGAGGGGAGGAACAAAGUAAGCUAGAUCGUCGGUACCUAAACCCAAGGAGUUCCGACGGAUUAAUGAAAUGAAACAUACCUAGGUUAUUAAAACAAACCAUGUUUUAUCGUGGUGGGAUCAAACAGAUGUUAAAACAAAUGCCACUACGGGGACGUAUCCUACACGUCGUUCGGAAGGUUAGACGAACAAAGCAAAGACAAUCACACACAUACACGUUUUACUAUCCGCGGAUGGAACAUAGAAAGAAAGAUCUAUCGUAAGAUCACACCAUUGUAUACUAAAUGUCAACGGACAAGUACUACGAUAUGUUUGAGAUUUUUAACCGUGAAGUCAGUUCAUACCAAGGAAAGACUUGUUAACAAAGAUGAAAAGGUAGGACCUUAGGCUAACGUACGAUAGCAUCUACCCAGACCCACACGUCACAACGACAACACAAUGUUAACGACACCAAAUACAACUGACUUUUACCCGACAAACAAAGUCUCCUCACGGCGACUAUACUAUGACGCCCUAGAUGUUUUAUUGGGACUCUACACCGACGUUCACCACGUGUAGGACAUCUUGAGGGUCUUGGAGUUGUGGCUCAAGAAACGGGAAGUUUUAACGGUACCACAACAAAAUACACGUCUUUUUUUUUCAAGGGCCUUACUGGACUUUGAAGUGCUCCCACCCCCCGUGGGGGGGGAUCCCACGCGGGGGAUGGAGCACCCGGGGGACCUCGAGGAGGCUGCGGUUGAGGCUGAGAUAUAUAAAGGAAAGCCCCUUUUUUUUAUUUCCUCUUAUGUAGUAGCGCAAAAUGCUAUGCCUCGGCGGCAGUUUGGGAUUUUCGAGAGCCCUCCCGACUAGACCUCAGGCAAGCCCCGAGGCCUCUCCCCCUAAGCAGCGGCAGUAGUAGUAGUUGGUAGGAAGUAGUGGUUAAAGUACUACGAAUGGCGGCACGCACUCAUUAAGGUAGUAUCCGAACGACCUGCCACUACCCAACCUACUCUAAAUAGUACAUUAGCUCAGUCAAAACAAUCCCAAACUAGGGAUCAUAGGUGAUACAAGACUCUAACUACAACGAUACUGAAACGAUACGAAUUACGAACAGUGAUCCCGGGCUCACAGUACUAAAGUCUAGACUUGGAUAAUACAAAAGUACUUAUAUACACUCAAGAAC